AGAAUGGAGAUACGUUAAAAAAUACGUCUUCAAGAUGUCUGUUGUAUCUUGUAUCUGCACGCAGUCAUGCACUAACCGAUACCUUCAAUUGUACACGUAUAGUAGUCGGCGAUUUAACCGAAAGUAAUUAUUAAUUCAUCAAGCACAUCCGGUACAGGAGUAUACGGCAAAAAUCCCGUUCCAUAUAAGUUGCGGGAUCAGCGGUACUUUGU